ensembl:lncRNA
CUUACUUAAUGACCUUGGUUAAGACAUACCAAUUUCUUGUGCCAUCCGUUGCAAUCUGCUGAAGCACAGCCUGCUUCUCUCUAGAAGUCUGUAUGGAGCUUAGACCUACUGACACUGUUAUGUCUGUAGCAAGUGGCUACUAAAUGCCAGUGAAAUAUUACCCUUAAUAGUUAUGCAGUGCUGAGGCCAGAUACUGAGGUGUGCAAAGUUAGUUAGAAGCCGCUUGAAAUGUGAGCAAUUGGCUGUCUGUGCUGCCCUUUGCUAAAAGAGGAGAUCCUUAUGUGAAUGGCCUGUAGGACUCUGUAGUAUCCAAGUAAAGCUUCAGUGACAAAUAUGAAUUGGGGGGUGGGCUCCAGACUGCAAGUCUUUGAGCAAAGUCGUGCACACCGAAGAAAGGUACAAUGAACAGAGAUGCAAGCGUUCGCCAUCCCCAAAACUGCUUCAUUGACCCCCCAGGACUGAAGACUGGUUUCGCUGCAGGGUCUGUUCCUCUGCUUGCUCAAGAGAUGGAUGUACAUCGAAGUCCCACUAGUGUUAAAGAGAGGUGCCUACUGAUCUUUCCCAUGUGUUAAUGGAAAAAAAGUCUUCCAAAGGCAUCUUACAAGGAUGUUUUGGCACAAUGGGUUGAUUUUAUUCACCCUGGGGCUGAGCAAUGAACAAAUUACCACAAGGCCAGCAAGGGUGGGGAUUCACAUUGCCUCAUUGUGAGAUCCUGCAAGCUCUGUUGGCAGUCACUUAGUUGGUAUGUCUUGGAACUUGCAUAUCUUUGUGCAGUUGAAUCUAUUACUAAUGCAUAAGCAUUCGUCAGUUUGGC